rnacentral:rRNA from 1 species
UACGUAGGGGGCAAGCGUUGUCCGGAAUUAUUGGGCGUAAAGAGCGCGUAGGCGGUCCGGUAAGUCCGCUGUGAAAGUCAAGGGCUCAACCCUUGAAUGCCGGUGGAUACUGUCGGGCUAGAGUCCGGAAGAGGCGAGUGGAAUUCCUGGUGUAGCGGUGAAAUGCGUAGAUAUCGGGGAGGAACACCUGUGGCGAAAGCGGACGCACUGGACCAUAACUGACGCUGAGGCGCGAAAGCUAGGGGAGCAAACAGG